rnacentral:rRNA from 1 species
UAUAGCCUCGAGUCGUAACAUGAAGGGGUAGAGCACUGACAGGGCUAGGGCUGCUUACCGCGGUACCAAACCCUUUCAAACUCCGAAUACUUCAUGCGUAAUCUCGGGAGUCAGGCGGUGGGUGAUAAAAUCAAUCGUCAAGAGGGGAACAACCCAGACUAACAGCUAAGGUCCCAAAGUUACAUCUGAGUGGAAAAAGAUGUGGAGUUGCUGAGACAAUCAGGAAGUUGGCUUAGAAGCAGCCAUCCUUUAAAGAAAGCGUAACAGCUCACUGAUCUAGCGAUUCUGCGCUGAAAAUAUAACGGGGCUAAGAUGUACACCGAAGCUUUAGAUUCUCUUUUAGAGAGUGGUAGGAGAGCGUUCCAAACAGCGUUGAAGGUAUACCGGUAAGGAGUGCUGGAGCGUUUGGAAGUGAGCAUGCAGGCAUGAGUAGCGAUAAAAGCAGUGAGAAUCUGCUUCGCCGUAAACCCAAGGUUUCCUACGCGAUGCUCGUCAUCGUAGGGUUAGUCGGGACCUAAGUCGAGUCCGAAAGGGGUAGACGAUGGCAAAUCGGUUAAUAUUCCGAUACCGACAAUUGUUCGUUUGAGUGAUGGGGGGACGCAUAGGGCUAAUCGAGCUCACUGAUGGAAUAGUGGGUCGAAGGACGUAGGCUGAAACAUAGGCAAAUCCGUGUUUCGUUAGGCCGAGAUCUUACAGGCUCUUCAAGGACUUCGGUCUGCGAGGAGAAUCGAUGAUGCCGUCGUGCCGAGAAAAGCCUCUAAGCGAGAACAAUUGUCGCCCGUACCGUAAACCGACACAGGUGGGUGAGAUGAGUAUUCUAAGGCGCGUGGAAGAACCCUGGUUAAGGAACUCUGCAAACUAGCACCGUAUCUUCGGUAUAAGGUGUGCCCAAAGUAGGUGAAGAGGCUUGCCCUUGGAGCCCAACCGGGUCGCAGCAAAGAGUCCCUCCCGACUGUUUACCAAAAACACAGCACUCUGCUAACUCGUAAGAGGAUGUAUAGGGUGUGACGCCUGCCCGGUGCUCGAAUGUUAAAAGGAUGUGUCAGCGCAAGCGAAGCAUUGAAUUGAAGCACGAGUAAACGGCGGCCGUAACUAUAACGGUCCUAAGGUAGCGAAAUUCCUUGUCGGUUAAAUACCGACCUGCAUGAAUGGCGUAACGAGAUGGGAGCUGUCUCAACCAGGGAUCCAGUGAAAUUGUAGUGGAGGUGAAAAUUCCUCCUACCCGCGGAAAGACGGAAAGACCCCGUGCACCUUUACUAUAGCUUGACAUUGCUAUUGGGAUACUCAUGUGCAGGAUAGGUGGGAGCUGUUGAUAUUGUCACGCCAGUGGCAAUGGAGGCAUCCUUGAGAUACCACCCUUGAGUAUUCUGAUAGCUAACUCGCAUCAGUUAUCCUGAUGGAGGACACUGUCUGGUGGGUAGUUUGACUGGGGCGGUCGCCUCCUAAAAAGUAACGGAGGCUUACAAAGUUCGGCUCAGAAGGGUUGGAAAUCCUUCGUAGAGUAUAAUGGCAUAAGCCGGACUGACUGUGAGACAGACAAGUCGAGCAGAGUCGAAAGACGGUCAUAGUGAUCCGGUGGUUCUGUGUGGAAGGGCCAUCGCUCAAAGGAUAAAAGGUACGCCGGGGAUAACAGGCUGA